CCAGCAUGUGUUCAUCCCCUUCCUCUUAUCCACUCUCACGCGACCGCCGGCAGCUCUCUCCGGCCUCCGCCGGGGCCUAGCCCUACCGUACGUACGGCACGACGACGGCCUUGUCGGCAGCGAAGACGGCUACAGUGCGGCGGCGCGGGAGGAUGGAGGACGCCUCGCCGGGGCGUGUGCUCGGGUGAGGGGCGGUGCCCUUGUCAGCGGCAAGGACGGCUUCUGUCGCGUGGCGAGAUGUAGAAGUGGCGGCGAGAUGGAUGGUGGCCGGCGACGUGAAGCUCAUCCGACUGUUGUCUCUUAUUGCUGAAUGGCAGAGCUGCCGGCCGCUCAUAAAUAAUCCCACCUCGCUCAUUUGCAUAUAAUCCAAUAAGUUUAUAUACACGUGUGAAUUUGCCGCGUCAGAAAUAAUCAACAAUAGGAGGGGAACACAAAAAAGGAAUUAAUCCCACAAGAGGGAAGAUGGAGCAAAGGAAUACACGACAAAGGAAGGAAAGGGGUGGGGGAAGAUGAGCCAAGGAAGGGAAUGGG
rnacentral:lncRNA from 1 species